rnacentral:rRNA from 1 species
CCUACGGGAGGCAGCAGUGAGGAAUAUUGGGCAAUGGACGCAAGUCUGAACCAGCAAAGCCGCGUGCAGGAAGACGGCCCUAUGAGUUGUAAACUGCUUUUGUACGAGGGUAAACGCAGAUACGUGUAUCUGUCUGAAAGUAUCGUACGAAUAAGGAUCGGCUAACUCCGUGCCAGCAGCCGCGGUAAUACGGAGGAUUCAAGCGUUAUCCGGAUUGAUUGGGGUUAAAGGGUGCGUAGGCGGUCGGAUAAGUUAGAGGUGAAAUCCCGAGGCUCAACUUCGGAAUUGCCUCUGAUACUGUUCGGCUAGAGCGUAGUUGCGGUAGGCGGAAUGUGUGGUGUAGCGGUGAAAUGCUUAGAGAUCAUGCAGAACACCGAUUGCGAAGGCAGCUUACCAGGCUACUUCUGACGUUGAGGCACGAAAGCGUGGGGAGCAAACAGGAUUAGAUACCCCAGUAGUC